UAUGACUCUAUGCAGAGAAACCUAAGGCAUUAACAUUGCAGAGAUCAGCCCAAAUCACUAAAGAUUUUAGCUAUUUUAGAGAGAGAAACAGAAAAACCAGUGAAGAAUUACAUACAGUUUCCUGUCAUAGAAUAGAAGAUACACAGAGAAAUAUUUCUCAUAGAUGUCUUGGAUCAGCUCUUCAUUAUGUUUCUCUCCCAUCUCUUCAUAGACACAACUUUCCGCAAGAUUUUCAGAAGGUCUCCACUGGUUAACAUUUCUUCUUCUCUCACCAUGCCCACAAUUCGCUAUAGUCUCCUCUGUACAUUUCAUUUUCCUGAUGACCCAUCAUGUCUUCUCUUGCAUAAAAUCUUUUCCAGACGAACCCACAUACCACUUUCCUCCACUAAAUCUGUUAUUCCAUUCUCUCACUUUGGAUCUUUCCCUCGAGAAAUGUCGAUAAUUCAUGUAAACUGGUGCUUGGGGUCCUUUGGUUGAUCCUAUCGAUCAGUUAUCUAGCAUUUCUUAUCAUCCUCUUGCAUGAGAAGAGGUUUGAUUCGACAGUUCAUCCAUUGUCAAUUUGAAUUUGGUGGUUCUUGAGCUUUCUGCUUGCCGUUUUCCUCUCUAUCUCAGCAGUCAACAGAUUAGUCCUCCAUAGCCCAAACCAUAAUCGAGAGCUAUGGGGUGGAGACAUAUUAACACUUGUAUCCCUACUUGUUAAUACUUUUCUCUGUCCCAUUGCCAUUAAAGGAUCCACGGUCUAAUUCUUGUGGAAAGAUUGAAAGAAGCAGAGAGAGAGAGAUGAAACUGAGAGAGCCUCUUUUAUCAGAAGCUGACAUCAUUGAUAAAAGGAUUAGUACCACAUUUACUCCUUAUAACUCAGCUGGGUUUCUCUCUAGAGCUACGUGGACAUGGAUGAAUGGAUUGUUAAAGGAGGGCUAUGAAUCUCCAUUCAAAUUUGAAGAUGUGCCUGGUCUUGCAUCAUCAGAUUCUGCAGAAUCCAUGUACAAGCGCUUCGAAUCGAACUUGCCCAAAAAUGACUCUGAAAACCAGUGAGGGUGAGGGUGAGGGUGAGGGUGAGUGGGAGCACUGCAUAUGGAGCGCAAAGUGCAUGGAUAAAAAAUGGGACCAUGGAAGGGAACAUACUAUUUGGUCAGCCGAUGGAUGGUGAGAGGUAGAAGGAGGUGAUUAGGGUUUGUUGCCUGGACACAGACUUGGAGAUGCUGGAAUUUGGAGAUACGACUGAGAUUGGUGAACGCGGGAUCAAUCUGGGUGGAGGCCAAAAGCAAAGAAUUCAGCUGUAUACCAGGACUCGGACAUCUAUCUCCUUGAUGACAUCUUUAGUGCUUUUGAUGCUCACACUGGUUCACAAAUCUUCAUGUGGUUGAUAAUGGCGAAAACUGGCGUGUGGGUCCGUGGGAGCUUCUUUGCUUAGGGCGAGUCAUGCUCAAGAAAAACCGCAUUUUAUUCCUCGAUGAGGCAACGGCCUCUGUUGACACACACGGAUGGGAUCAUCCAAAGGAUCAUUAGAGAAGAUUUUGCAGAAUGUACCAUCACCAUCAUCAGCAUCGACUGUGGGUUUUUACAGUUUUAAUGGAGGAACGUGGCAUGUUGGUUCUUUUUGAAAAUAUUUUUAUGCAUGAGAAGACAAGAUGGAUCACCAGGAAAAUGAGAUGUACGGAGGAGACUAGAGCGAAUUGUGGGCAUGGUGAGAGAACAAGAAAUCUUAACCAGUGGAGAGCUUCUGAAGAUCCUGUGAAAAGUGGUGGCUCUGAAGAGAAGGGAGAGACAUAAUGAAAAGCUGAUCCAAAACAUCUAUGAGAUAUAUUUCUCUAUGUAUCUACUAGUCUAUGACAUGAAACUGUAUGAAUUCUUCACUGGUUUCUCUGUU